CUUCUAACUGUAACUGUUUCGUUUCCUUCGUCCAUCACAAAAACCCGAAUAUAUUCGCAUACAGAUGCCUAUCCUUGUCUUUGAAUUAUUGAUUAUUACACAGUUAAAUCUCCUUGUGUCUCUCUUCGAUCUUUCGUUUUCUGCGUACUUCUAAGAAUUUGGUUUUUCCGGAGAUUCGAACAGAGCUGCUGCUCCUUGUUUGGAAUCCAUUCAAGCUCUUUACUGUCAGAGCUAAUUUUGUGGGUCUUUUGAAGUUCUGGUUUUUGCCCUUCCAGAGCCUGUGAUGAAAUGAUGGAAACUGAAGGGGAAUCCAAUUCCCAUAAGGAGCAUGAGGUGGGUUUAUGCGAUAAAACAGUUAUUCCACCUCCAUUAAAUCACAAGGCUGAUGUUUCAACUGGGAUAACAGAGAAAGCCCCUUCUGUUCAACACUGGAAAAAACAAAACCUCUUCUUGGAGAUACCCUCAAGAACAUUGGAGAUCUCCUCUCGGGAUUUUGUGAGAAUAAAUAUGCCCCCAACACCAAGUCCCACUCCCACAAGAGUGAAUCUUCCCCGAACACCAAGCCUUAUUUCUUCAAGAAUAAACGAGUCCCCAGGUCCCUCCUCAUCUAGAGGAAAGUCAUCUAGAAGAGGCUUCCUACCACGAGUAAGCUUCAAGUACCGGAGUUCAACUACAGACAUUGAGAAGACAGGUGCCAUAACUCUAGGUACUCCAUCAACAGGGCCACGGGAGAAGCCCUUUAUCUCAAGGUCAUUGUCUCUUACUAAGCUAUUAACACCCAGGAUGAAGAGGACAUCAUCCCUGCCUGUCACUCCAAUUGCUAACUCAAACCCCGAAUCUGCCUCUGGAGGAAGCGUUGUUGAUCCCUUGAAUUCGAAUAAGAAGGGUGCCCAACGGAAGAUGUCUCGUUCACUCUCUGUCCCUGUGAACAACAAAGGAAGAGGAAUAAAGCAAACUGAGUCCUUAGGUGGUGGGUUUCGCGUAAUCCCAUCGACUCCGAAAGUGACAGAAGGCAGCACCGCCAUGUCAAAUGCAACAACUCCCUCGGGAGAUGCUGAGAACAAUGAUGCUGAUGGUGAAGAUAUUCCUGAAGAAGAGGCUGUGUGUAGAAUUUGUUUGAUUGAACUGGGUGAAGGACCUGAUACCCUAAAGUUGGAAUGUAGCUGCAAAGGUGAACUUGCACUGGCCCAUCAAGAAUGUGCUAUAAAAUGGUUUAGCAUCAAGGGUAACAAAACUUGUGAUGUUUGUAAGCAAGAGGUUCAGAACUUACCAGUCACCCUGUUACGGAUCCAAAAUGUUCGAACUCUCAAUCCAAAUGCAAAUAGAUCUCGGCAGAGAGCAGUUUCUCAGUACAGAGUAUGGCAGGAUGUGCCUGUUGUUGUCAUCGUUAGUAUGCUUGCUUACUUUUGUUUUCUGGAGCAGCUUCUGGUUACCAAAAUGGGUACUGGUGCAAUUGCCAUGUCCUUGCCAUUUUCUUGCAUACUCGGUCUGCUUGCAUCCAUGACAUCAUCAACCAUGGUGAGGAGAAGAUUUGUCUGGGUUUACGCAUCAGUUCAAUUUGCGCUGGUCGUUCUCUUUGCUCAUAUUUUCUACUCAUUGCUUCAUCUGCAAGCCGUUCUAUCCAUUCUCCUCUCCACCUUUGCUGGUUUUGGUGUUGCGAUGAGUGGCAAUUCUAUUAUUGUUGAGUUCUUGAGAUGGAGGAGUCGUCAGCGCACUAGGGCAGAUUUUCGCCAAGCCUCUCAAGAAGUUUAUACACCCCAGCCUGAAUCCAACCGCCACCAAAAUGAACUCGGAAGUUAAGAAGAUGGCUCACAAGGGAGCUGAAUCAGUAUUCAUAUGACAGUUUAUAUUGUUGUGGUAGCAAAGUCCAAAAGGUCUGGCCUGUACAGAAAGUCCUGCCAAGUUGGGUUUUUUCAAAUUGCUGCACCAAAAGAGGAGACUGGGUGGAGGUUUCUCUUAUAAAAUGGCUUGUGGUUUGAAUAAAUGCGACUUGGACCUAGAAAGAAAGACGGGGGUUGUUCUUCC